GGACUACAAGGGUUUCUAAUCCUGUUUGCUCCCCACGCUUUCGUGUCUCAGCGUCAGUAUUCGUCCAGUUGGCCGCCUUCGCCACCGGUGUUCCUCUCGAUAUCUACGAAUUUCACCUCUACACCGAGAAUUCCACCAACCUCUCCGAUACUCAAGCCGUGCAGUUUCGGGUGCACUUCCCGGGUUGAGCCCGGGGCUUUCACAUCCGACUUGCAUGGCAGCCUACACACGCUUUACGCCCAGUAAUUCCGAACAACGUUUGCACCCUCUGUCUUACCGCGGCUGCUGGCAC
rnacentral:rRNA from 1 species